UGGGGAAUCUUGCGCAAUGGGCGAAAGCCUGACGCAGCCAUGCCGCGUGAGUGAUGAAGGCCUUAGGGUUGUAAAACUCUUUCACCGGGGACGAUAAUGACGGUACCCGGAGAAGAAGCCCCGGCUAACUUCGUGCCAGCAGCCGCGGUAAUACGAAGGGGGCUAGCGUUGCUCGGAAUUACUGGGCGUAAAGGGCGCGUAGGCGGAUCAGCAAGUUGGGGGUGAAAGCCCGGGGCUCAACCUCGGAAUUGCCUUCAAAACUGCUGAUCUAGAGUACGGGAGAGGUGUGUGGAACUCCGAGUGUAGAGGUGAAAUUCGUAGAUAUUCGGAAGAACACCAGUGGCGAAGGCGACACACUGGCCCGUUACUGACGCUGAGGCGCGAAAGCGUGGGGAGCAAAACAGGAUUAGAUACCCUGGUAGUCCACGCUGUAAACGAUGAUUGCUAGUUGUCGGCAGGCAUGCCUGUCGGUGACNCAGCUAACGCAUUAAGCAAUCCGCCUGGGGAGUACGGUCGCAAGAUUAAAAACUUAAAGGAAUUGGCGGGGGUCAUAGCUGUUUCCU
rnacentral:rRNA from 1 species